CCUACGGGUGGCUGCAGUAGGGAAUAUUGCUCAAUGGGGGAAAGCCUGACGCAGCAACGCCGCGUGGAGGAUGAAGGCUUUCGGAUUGUAAACUCUGUUUGUUAGAAAGGAAAAUGACGGUAUCUAACGAAUAAGCACCGGCUAACUCCGUGCCAGCAGCCGCGGUAAUACGGAGGGUGCAAGCGUUAUUCGGAAUCACUGGGCGUAAAGAGUGCGUAGGCGGGAUAGCAAGUCAGAUGUGAAAGCCUAUGGCUUAACUGUAGAACUGCAUUUGAAACUGUUAGGCUAGAGUAUGGGAGAGGUAGGUGGAAGUCUUGGUGUAGGGGUAAAAUGCGUAGAGAUCAAGAGGAAUACUCAUUGCGAAGGCGACCUGCUAGAACAUAACUGACGCUGAUGCGCGAAAGCGUGGGGAGCAAACAGGAUUAGAUACCCGGGUAGUC
rnacentral:rRNA from 1 species